AGCAAUUUAUCUAAAACAAGGCCAAUUAUAUGUACAAAGGGGCAAUGCAUUAUUGGGCCUACUAUUGGAGAAAUUGGCCCAGGGGCACAGUUCAUGCCCAGUUGCAGCGGCAACAUCAGUUCAAGGGUUGAUUCCACGCAAGGGCACCAACUAACGCCUAAACGUGAGCCCAAACGACCCAGUCAAUCCAGCGGUGACUACCUGGUUUAUGCAGUUGUAUUGUACUCUAUUUCAGAUUAAAAAAUCGCUUUCUGUAUCUACUCAUUUUUCCUUACUUAUUUUGUAUUAAAAGGUUCCCACAUCUUAAUUUAAAAGUGAUAGCCAAAUUAUAACAACUAAGUUCAAAUUGACUCUUAAACCGUUCAAAUGGGCAACUAAACCAUUCUGAUAUUUUGAAGAUACACAAAUCUGUAAAAAUUCCAAUUCAACUCUAACACCUAGACUAACAAAAAUGUACCCACACCUGUAUUACACAAUACCUCUUAAUCAGCAUGCUUUUAAACCAAUUUAUGAAUCGCCCGACAAGAGAUAACUAAUAUGACAUUAUCUACAAUGAGUGCUUAACAAAUAUAUGAAUCAGACACUAGGAAUCAACUAUAGCCAUCACAGAAAUUCAACCAUAUACAUUGAAGUUACUAAUUCAUAAGAAGUGAACUGGAAUCUAAAGUGUAACAAUCCGAUACUAUUAAAUCCCAAUUAAUACUUCACAAAUUUGUAUAAACGAUGCAACUGAAUCAGAAUUCUAAGCUAAGACAUAACAGACAAAGAGUUUUUCAUAAUUCAUUUUCAAACAGAAUCACAUAUGCUGAUUCAUUCCCGAUGUCACUUGAAUCUAACGACAUACCUGGAAAUUGAAACACAAGUAAGAGGGAGAGGAGAUCAACUACAUAUUGCAAAUAACAACAUUCACAACAGAUCAACAGUUUCUCAAGACCAAAUUCAAACCCAGGAUGGUUUUGAAACCCAACAGGAUCAGUAGAAUAGCUAAAAUAGUACCAAAUAUUCAGAAACAAACCCAUGAAUCAGUGUAUCUAAUCAAUUAACCCACAACUGACUCGGGUUAUCUUCAUGUCUCGAGUUAUCGAACAGAAAUGAGGAAUUCCAGUAAUUCUGGAUCUUAGCUAGCUAAAAUGUUGAUUUGAAACUAAAUAUGACUUAGAGGAUAAGCAAUGUAACAAUGUUUCUUUUUUAUUUUCAGCUUUUUUUUUUUCUUUUUCUUUUUGGACCUUGAAUUUCAAAUCUAAAAUCUAAAACUAAAGAGUAUUUUUGGGGGGAGUUUUUUGGAGCUUUCAAAACUUGUCCAAUAAGGCAAAAAUGAUUGCCUUUGAUAGGCCAAAUGAGGGAAGCUUCUAGAUUCACGCUCCCUAGAUAAAACCUGAAAUUUUUCUAACUUCCUCACAUGUGCCCUCCCUUAUCU
rnacentral:lncRNA from 1 species